AAAUUGAAGAAUCAUAGUCCAAUGAAGAUGUAAUAAUGCAGAAAAACACCCAAUGCUGGUGCACUUACCAAUUUUGAAGUUCUCGACUUCCUGAAGGCAAGAGGUGCUUCAAAGGAUUCCUCAAGGGUUAUUGCUCCCGUAGCAUCAUCAGAAUAUAAGGUUUAUGAUUAUUUGGUGGAGACUCCUGCUUCCAGGCAAACGAGAGAGCAAAUCUAUGAAUUUAUGAAGAAGUGUAAGACAUACAAACUUGCAAAAGCUGAGAUCCUCAAUAUCAUCAACAUUGCACCUCGUGAAUUAGUUGAAAUUGACCCGAUGAUAGAGCACUCUGAAAUGCGUUUGGGAGACCAGGUAGAAGAACUACUGGACUUGGUUAGAAAUGUAUUUCCGCUGCCUCCAGCUGAUCUGACGUCUGAAGCAGGGAUGGAUAAGGAUAGAGAAGAAACUGGGAAUGAGGAGCAAAAUGAGGAUAUGAAUGAAACUUUAGCCGGAGAACAAAUUGAUGGGGAUGGAAAAUAAAGUGUUGACGGGGAACAAAUGGAGACAAAUUGCGGCCAAAUGUUGGAUUUUCCUAGUAGAAACCAAUGAAAUUCUAAACCAUAAUAUAUAUAUAUAUAUGUAAUUUAUUGACAUGGUCUGGUAUUAUCUUAGUGCCAAAUUGUCUUGUUCUGGAUAUAUGAUAACUAGGGCUUUAUGCUGUAAAUGGUCGAAAAUGUCCCUUGUGUGGGUGUGUGUUAUUCAUUAUUUUAAUUAAGUUUUAUGGUAAAAGUGCUGGUAUAAACCACAAGUGGUGGCGAGGUAGAAAGUUAAUUUUAGGCCCAUGAAUAUGGACAGUGAUAAUUUACUUUUCUUGUACAGAUUUUCAAUUUCAAGCAAUCAGCUCCUUUUCAGUUAAAACUUAAUUAAAAUAAUGAAAAACACACACC
rnacentral:misc_RNA from 1 species